GAUCCUGGCUCAGGAUGAACGCUAGCUACAGGCUUAACACAUGCAAGUCGAGGGGCAGCAUGAACUUAGCUUGCUAAGUUUGAUGGCGACCGGCGCACGGGUGAGUAACACGUAUCCAACCUGCCGAUGGACUCGGGGAUAGCCUUUCGAAAGAAAGAUUAAUACCCGAUGGCAUAAUUCUUCCGCAUGGUAGAACUAUUAAAGAAUUUACGGUCAUCGAUGGGGAUGCGUUCCAUUAGGUUG
rnacentral:rRNA from 1 species